GGUUAUAUAGCUCAGUUGUAGAGCGCUUGUCUGACAUGUGUGAGGCCCUGAGUUUGAUUCCCAGCAUCACCA
rnacentral:tRNA from 1 species